UAGGGAAUCUUCCGCAAUGGGCGAAAGCCUGACGGAGCAACGCCGCGUGAGUGAUGAAGGUCUUCGGAUCGUAAAACUCUGUUAUUAGGGAAGAACAAAUGUGUAAGUAACUAUGCACAUCUUGACGGUACCUAAUCAGAAAGCCACGGCUAACUACGUGCCAGCAGCCGCGGUAAUACGUAGGUGGCAAGCGUUAUCCGGAAUUAUUGGGCGUAAAGAGCUUGUAGGCGGUUCGUCGCGUCUGGUGUGAAAGCCCAUCGCUUAACGGUGGGUUUGCGCCGGGUACGGGCGGGCUAGAGUGCAGUAGGGGAGACUGGAAUUCUCGGUGUAACGGUGGAAUGUGUAGAUAUCGGGAAGAACACCAAUGGCGAAGGCAGGUCUCUGGGCUGUUACUGACGCUGAGAAGCGAAAGCGUGGGGAGCGAACAGG
rnacentral:rRNA from 1 species